AUUUUUGAUAACAGCCAAUGGAUUAUUGAUUGAAUUAGUGAACUAUACGGUCGUGCAGAAGCUGUGUGUUCAAAUCACCGAAUUGACAUAUUAUUAUUGUACGCUCUCGGCCAAUACACUCAGACGGUGACGGAUGAAAGCGAAAGCGAAAUCGGUAAACGGCUAAAUAUUGGGACUACCUGUGUCCUCUCAGGCGUGCAGAAAUAACCUGGACGGUCUGAUCAGCCCAACUUCGACUGACCGGUGGUUAUCGUUUUUUUCAAAAAGAACGAUUUCAAGCAGCACAUCCUGAAUUCGAGACUAGUGUUGUAUGUACGUGGCCCUCCAUGGACACGUGUUAUUGAAUCAUUUCACCAAAUCAACUGCUAAUAUCACUUAACAACCAUAACAUUUUCCAUUCAUGUCAAAUCAAUCGCCAUCAUAGAGACUAGUGUUGUAUGUACGUGGUCCUCCAUAGACACGUGUUAUUGAAUCAUUUCACCAAAUCCACUGCUAAUUACAACCAUAAAAUUUUCCAGUCAUGUCAAAUCAAUCGCCAUCUAAAUCAGACUUGACUAAUUGUUCAGUGACGGGCAGCAACAAUGGCGUUGGUUUUAAGCCAAUUAGAAAUUUCGAAUGGACUACAAGACUUGAAAAAUGUUUGCUACUAAACAUGGCCCGUCUAAAGCCUAGUGGUAAGUCUGAAGCACAGCUGUUCGCCCCUUUUCUUUAGUUAUAUGCAUCAAGAUUGUAUGAAAUUAGGUCAUGUUCCUCAAAUCAAUU